CAAAGAACUUCUGGUGGCUGCUUCUCGUUGCUCCCAUGGACUCAUACAAAUUGGCAGAGCCUCACUUCUUCUGGAUCAAGCCACUUGUACUGAUUUGUGUUUGGUGUUUUGCUGUUGGACAGGACUGCUGACAACAAAGAUUGGAAUCACCAGAAAGAACUAUUUCUAAACAAGUCCACAACUCCUGUCUCCUCUUAACCUUUUUUCCCCCGCUAAUGCUAGUGAGUGAUGGGCUAGAAGGGAAGUUGAAACAUAAAGAACCAUAAUUAAAGAAGGUUUUGAAAAAUCUAAGCCUACUGGCAUGAUCAAGAGUUCAAAGCUGCUGAGCAGUGGUGGCGCAAGCCUUUAAUCCUAGCAUUUGGGAGGCAGAGGAAGGCGGAUGGCAGAUCUCUUAGUUCAAAGUCAGCCUGGUCUACAGAGUGAGUUCCAGGACAGCCAGGGCUACACAGAGAAACCCUGUCUCAGAAAACCAAAAAAAAAAAAAAAAAAAAAAAAAAAAAAAAAAAAAAAAAAGCUAGCCUGUGUUACCUAAAUCAGUGUCUUGCUCAGCCAUCGUUAGAGAAGCUUCCUCCUGCACUAGAUGGAAAUAAAUAUCAAGACCUACAUACAGCUGGACAAUGUGUAGAGUGAGAGAACUUGGAACCUCUGGUCGGAAAUGGGGUACCUCCAUCAAGUCUCUUCCCUCAGAGUUCAGGCAACUCUGUGGAUGAGGUGGCAGAAGGACUGUAAGAGCCAGAGGAGAUGGAAGACGC
rnacentral:lncRNA from 1 species